rnacentral:lncRNA from 1 species
GCAGCUUUCUAAUUGAAGCAUCACAUCUCCUUUCACUCUGAUGACAUAUACCAUCUAGUAUAAUUUCAGUUUUUAUGGUAAUAAAUUUAUUUUACUUUUUAAGGUAGAUAAUCUAAUUACUUCACAUAUAUGUAGAUUUUCAACAAUGUUAAAUGACAUUUUUUCCUGAAUGAAGUAUUUUGCCAGUGGUAUAUUAAUGACUU